rnacentral:tRNA from 1 species
GCCGGUUUAGCUCAGCUGGUAGAGCAACUGAUUUGUAAUCAGUAGGUCGGGGGUUCGAGUCCCUCAACCGGCACCA